rnacentral:tRNA from 1 species
GCCUUAGCUCAGCUGGGAGAGCGCGUCGUUCGCAAUGACGAGGUCAGGGGUUCGAUCCCCCUAGGCUCCA